GCCCUCGUAGAGAAAUGGUAACUCGUCAGACUUCUAAUCUGAGGAUUGUAGGUUCGAAUCCUGCCGGGGGCG